ACGCUCAGGCCUCUCCUCAGUAUGACGACCUAAUCUUUCGCCUUUUACUAAAGAUUACCGUGGG
rnacentral:snRNA from 1 species